rnacentral:rRNA from 1 species
UAAGGAAUAUUGGACAAUGGGCGCAAGCCUGAUCCAGCCAUGCCGCGUGGGUGAAGAAGGCCUUCGGGUUGUAAAGCCCUUUUGUUGGGAAAGAAAAGCAGUCGGUUAAUACCCGAUUGUUCUGACGGUACCCAAAGAAUAAGCACCGGCUAACUUCGUGCCAGCAGCCGCGGUAAUACGAAGGGUGCAAGCGUUACUCGGAAUUACUGGGCGUAAAGCGUGCGUAGGUGGUUUGUUAAGUCUGAUGUGAAAGCCCUGGGCUCAACCUGGGAAUUGCAUUGGAUACUGGCAGGCUAGAGUGCGGUAGAGGGUAGUGGAAUUCCCGGUGUAGCGGUGAAAUGCGUAGAGAUCGGGAGGAACAUCCGUGGCGAAGGCGACUACCUGGACCAGCACUGACACUGAGGCACGAAAGCGUGGGGAGCAAA